rnacentral:rRNA from 1 species
UACGUAGGGUGCGAGCGUUGUCCGGAAUUAUUGGGCGUAAAGAGCUCGUAGGCGGUGUGUCACGUCGGCCGUGAAAACCUGCAGCUUAACUGUGGGCGUGCGGUCGAUACGGGCAUCACUGGAGUUCGGCAGGGGAGACUGGAAUUCCUGGUGUAGCGGUGAAAUGCGCAGAUAUCAGGAGGAACACCGAUGGCGAAGGCAGUUCUCUGGGCCGUAACUGACGCUGGAGGAGCGAAAGCGUGGGGAGCGAACAGG